AACGAACGCUGGCGGCAUGCCUAACACAUGCAAGUCGAACGAGACCUUCGGGUCUAGUGGCGCACGGGUGCGUAACGCGUGGGAACCUGCCCUUAGGUUCGGAAUAACUCCCCGAAAGGGGCGCUAAUACCGGAUAAUGUCUUCGGACCAAAGAUUUAUCGCCUUUGGAUGGGCCCGCGUUGGAUUAGCUAGUUGGUAGGGUAAAAGCCUACCAAGGCGACGAUCCAUAGCUGGUCUGAGAGGAUGAUCAGCCACACUGGGACAGAGACACGGCCCAGACUCCUACGGGAGGCAGCAGUGGGGAAUAUUGGACAAUGGGCGAAAGCCUGAUCCAGCAAUGCCGCGUGAGUGAUGAAGGCCUUAGGGUUGUAAAGCUCUUUUACCCGGGAUGAUAAUGACAGUACCGGGAGAAUAAGCUCCGGCUAACUCCGUG
rnacentral:rRNA from 1 species